CCUACGGGUGGCAGCAGUGAGGAAUAUUGGUCAAUGGACGAGAGUCUGAACCAGCCAAGUAGCGUGAAGGAUGACUGCCCUAUGGGUUGUAAACUUCUUUUAUAAAGGAAUAAAACGAGGCACGUGUGCCCUUUUGCAUGUACUUUAUGAAUUAGGAUCGGCUAACUCCGUGCCAGCAGCCGCGGUAAUACGGAGGAUCCGAGCGUUAUCCGGAUUUAUUGGGUUUAAAGGGGGCGUAGAUGGGUUGUUAAGUCAGUUGUGAAAGUUUGCGGCUCAACCGUAAAAUUGCAAUUGAUACUGGCAGUCUUGAGUGCAGUUGAGGUAGGCGGAAUUCGUGGUGUAGCGGUGAAAUGCUUAGAUAUCGCGAAGAACCCCGAUUGCGAAGGCAGCUUACUAAACUGUGACUGACAUUGAUGCUCGAAAGUGUGGGUAUCAAACAGGAUUAGAUACCCGAGUAGUU
rnacentral:rRNA from 1 species